rnacentral:misc_RNA from 1 species
CACUUCUCUUCACUCCUUCGAAAACCCUAACUUUCUCUCUCAUUUUCUUUGCCCUUUUCUUUCUCUCUCUGCUCAAUUAUUAUCAAUAGAUCCUCCAUGGACGAUGCUCACAAUCCCGAUCCGGGAGGCCACUUCGCCACUGACUCCAACUGGAAUCUGGGCUCUGACUCCGAUAACGUCAAUUACUUCUUCGCUAGCGACAGAGAGAGCAGUAUACUCAGGGAAUUCGGAUGGAAUCUUCAACCCGGCCACACUUCCAGCGAACCGGAC